CAGUCGCCACGGUAAUACGGAGGGUGCAAGCGUUAAUCGGAUUUACUGGGCGUAAAGCGUGCGUAGGCGGCUUUUUAAGUCGGAUGUGAAAUCCCUGAGCUUAACUUAGGAAUUGCAUUCGAUACUGGGAAGCUAGAGUAUGGGAGAGGAUGGUAGAAUUCCAGGUGUAGCGGUGAAAUGCGUAGAGAUCUGGAGGAAUACCGAUGGCGAAGGCAGCCAUCUGGCCUAAUACUGACGCUGAGGUACGAAAGCAUGGGGAGCAAACAGGAUUAGAUACCCCCGUAGUCCCUGUCUCUUAUAC
rnacentral:rRNA from 1 species